CUUGACUGUAUCCUGGAAUUGGGUUCGGGCUCUUCUUGCGCAGCCUAGGUGGGAGGCGUUGAAGGUUUUCUUUCGGGGAAACUGGAGCCAACAGUGAGAGACCACUCUGGAGGAGCUAGAAUUCUAAUGGUGAUCCUUGAAUCAGGACACUUGACAGUUUCAGGUGGGCAGUUUUUCUGGGGCGGAAGCCUCAUAAAGGGUAACUGAGGCGCGCAAAGGUCCCCUCAGUCUGGACGGAAAUCAGACAACGAGUGUAAAGGCAAAAGGGGGCUUGACUGCAAGACCUACAAGUCGAGCAGGAGCGAAAGCUGGCCUUAGUGAUCCGACGGUACCGUGUGGAAGGGCCGUCGCUCAACGAAUAAAAGUUA
rnacentral:rRNA from 1 species